UAAUGAUAACUUCAACGGUA
rnacentral:miRNA from 1 species